rnacentral:lncRNA from 1 species
GACAGAAAGAAUCAAAGAAGGCACCACUCUUGAAUACUUCUUUUCUCUUUUUUUUGCAGCCUGGGCCAUCAACUGCUAACAAGUGGUGGCUUGACAACCUGGUGACCCAGACAAAGCAAGGAGCAGUGCCAAGAGAGAGUCUCAGGGAAACUGCCCGUGGGAAUGGACGUGAGGAGGGUGUGAAGCAGAAGCAGGGCAUCAGCAGCAGCUCCUGCCAGCAGCACUCCAAGGCAAGGGAGCCUCCUCACAAGACCUUUGGCCAAAUGGCCACGGAUUUCCACAAGACCUUUGCCCAAAGGGCCAAGGACACUCACAAGAUCUCUGGCCAAAUGACCAAGCCUUUUCAGAAGACCUCUGGCCAAGUGGCUAAGGCUCCUCAGAAAUCUCAUGUUAUGAGCACACACAGCUCUCUGAAGCCUCCUGUGCACGCCAAGGAGCCAUUGCGGGUAUCAAAGAUUGUGGGUGUCAAAAGGCCCAGCGAGCCCCUGGUGCAUGACAAACCCAGGAAAGUCCGGAAGCUGGAGAGUAAGCCUGGUCCUUUGGAGGUCAGAGACCACUCCUCCAAAGACAAGCUGAAAGUCCAAGAAGCAGAGAACCCAAAACCUACUUUCAGAAGUGGCCUGACGCUGGGAGCGCAAAAACACUUUGAGAAGAGGAAGCACCAGGACCCUGACAAGAGCUGUGCCCGCGUGCCCAAGGCUCCUGGCCAGAGUUGGGGCCAAGUGGCCAAGGCUCGUCGUGAAUCUGAUGUUAGGUCCAAACUCAGCUUUCUGAAGCCUCCUGUGCGCACCAAGGAGGCCUUGCUCAGGAAUACUCUGGGUAUCAAAAGGCCCAGUAUGUCCUGGGUACACAAUGAAUCUAAGAGAGUCUGGAAGGCAGAGAGGGAGCCUGGUCGUUUGCAGGCCACAGACCAGUCUUGCAAGGACCAGCCCAAAGUCAAGAAAACAAUGAAGCCAAAAGCCACCAACAAAGAAGACCUGAAGCUGACACUUCAGAAGCUCUCUGAGAAGAGAAAGGACAGGGGCUCCCACCAAGCCAAUGCCAAAGGCUUUUUGGAGCCCAAGCUCCGGAAACAUGCUCAGGAAUGUGAUGCCCUCACCCCCAGUGGCCACAGGCCCAAGGAUUUGCACAAGAAGAAAGAGCCCUGGCCUCCUGGGGACAAGAGGUUGUUCUCGCCUGCAAGGGAAGCAGGCUUGAAGAGGAAAGCCAUGAUGAGUCCUGAGGAGUUCCCUAGAAAGAAGAAGAGGGAAGACAAGGGAGACACUCCCAGGAAGAAAAAGGAAUAAGACAAAAUAAUUUCAGCUUUCAGCAAGCACAGGCUCCAAUAAACUGAAGUGAGUAUGCCA